rnacentral:rRNA from 1 species
AAGGCUUGACCUCAAAGCAGGUAGGUAGUA